GAUUAAUCCGUUCCCAUGAAAAAAAAUCCUAUUGUUAUUGGCAUAUUAUACAUUGAUGGGGUUGUAUAAAAUAAUUUAAACACUGCUUAAUACUAAAAUACAUAAAUACAAAAGCAAUUAGAUGAAAUAAAUGAAAAUUUAACCUCACUUUAGUUUUUAAUAACGUCUUUGUUUUUCACAAUCAUACAUACCGUCAUUCUCGGCAUACGGUAUGCAGCAGCCAGGCCCCAGAUACGCAUGCCACCUUCAUACUUUUCAACAAUCAAUUCAAAUUUACGCGAAAAAACACAAAAUCAUGGGAAAAUUCACAAAGUUAUAGCGCGGGUUGUUCACUGAAUGCUAGUAACCGGCGUACUUACGCUCAUGGGCAGUCGUGGCUUUGUCACGCAAGUCGUAUUCCAAACAAAGGUCGUAUACCAAGCAAACUUUUUCGCGUCCAAACAGGACGUAUACCAAGUUGGACUUAUUCCAAAGCAGACGUAUACCGAGGUACCACUGUGUGUGUGUGUGUGUGUGUGUAUGUAUAUAUAUAUAUAUAUAUAU